rnacentral:rRNA from 1 species
AUACGUAGGGUGCAAGCGUUAAUCGGAAUUACUGGGCGUAAAGCGUGCGCAGGCGGUUUUGUAAGACAGUGGUGAAAUCCCCGGGCUCAACCUGGGAACUGCCAUUGUGACUGCAAGGCUGGAGUGCGGCAGAGGGGGAUGGAAUUCCGCGUGUAGCAGUGAAAUGCGUAGAUAUGCGGAGGAACACCGAUGACGAAGGCAAUCCCCUGGGCCUGCGCUGACGCUCAUGCACGAAAGCGUGGGGAGCAAACAGGAUUAGAUACCCUGGUAGUCCACGCCCUAAACGAUGUCAACUGGUUGUUGGGGAUUUAUUUUCUCAGUAACGAAGCUAACGCGUGAAGUUGACCGCCUGGGGAGUACGGCCGCAAGGUUAAAACUCAAAUGAAUUGACGGGG